GCUUCUCUUAACAUAAACAAAGAGAAUAGUAAUUACUCCUGAAAAGUAAAAUAAAAUGGUUGUUAGUCUAAAGUCAGCUAUUGUUACUGUGUUCUCCCCGUGUCCUUAAGUUUUCAUGAUAAGAACUUUAGAAAAACAUUUGCAUUUGAUUUAUUUGUUUGUAUGUAUGCUUGUGUGUGGAGGACAGAGGACAACUUUCAGGAGUUGGUUCUUUCCUCCUUCCAUCAGUGUCCUAGAGAUAGACCUCAGGUUGUGUGGCUUGGCAAUGUGUGCUAUUACCUGCCAUCGCACUGGCCCUGAGAUGUCUUUUAAGUUCACUACUUCCUACAAUCAACCCCUAGAAACACUGAUGCUGUGGGGAAAGCCCUUGUAACUGAUUGAUUUAGCAAACAACAUUUGAUGAUUUUUAUUGUCAGGGAGCUAGAAGGAUGCUGUCCUUGGAUGGAUAAAGCAAAUGGAGCACGUUCUCUCUCAUCUCUUCUGGGAUUUGGCAUCUGUUCACUAUGUGAGCUUCACUGGGAGCCUGUACUCGUGAGGCAGUCUGUGUGGUCAGGAGGAAAAGUAUAAUCUGGGCAAACAAUUUGGUGUCUCAAUCUUGACUCAGUCUCUCUUGGAGGUGUGAUGAAUGCUAUAUAAGCAAGAUCUAAUGUUCUGCGACUCCAAGUCUAGAAAGGAAAUGGUACAAGCUGAUUUGAGCCCCUCUGACAAGGCCAAUAGGAUGCUCCAGUCUAGAAACCUGGAAGGAUUCAGCCAGGGAGAACACAAUCAAAAGCAGAAAUGGAGAGGAGUUCGUGGGAUCAGCCCAGGUCCAGCAGCUCACAGAACACUGAAGAGUGGCUACUGUCGCAGCAGGGGUUCCCAGGUCUCUUUACAUACCGUUCAAAGUCCAGGACAUUUGAGUAAUGAAAACCUGUGAUUCAGUCACUGAGAGAACCCAGUGAGAGCCAGUGCCAAGGCAGAAGCUGUUUUCUCAGUACUCUGAUUUGUGCUGAGGUCCAACAAUGUCCCCAAGUAUUAGUGUGGAUCAGAGAGACUGCCAUGACAGACUGGGAAACAUAUCCUGUUAACCCUUGGGAGCACCCCUCAGGUGCAGGCUGAAUAGAGAACAUCUCUUGGGCUGUCCAGUGUACCAGCUGUCCAAACAUACAUGGUAAUCAUAGUCUUCCCUGGGCCCAGCAGAUACAGCUUGUCUCUGAGUCAUGUCACAACAGAGGUAACAGGCUGCUGCUGUUCUUUCCAAGAAGCUGCUACAGCAUUUCAUGUGUCCUCAUCUCAGAAACCUUGUCCAAAGGCAUGCUGGGAAAUUAUGUUUCCAGGUGUUUGUGGAACCUGGCACACAUGGCUAGCAGGGCACACCCAGAGUCAGACAGGGUCUGAUUCAUGUUCAUGUAGUCUGACCCAUAGGAAAAACUGGGAUUUCUCUGUGCCAUUGGGAUUCUCAUGUAACUGUUGUUUUUGUCUGUACACAGAGCCUGCUUCUCUCUCCUGUGUUCUCCUCCUUGGCAAAUAUCAUCAUCUAAUAUCUACUCUGGACUGAAAUUUUGUUUACCCAAAUUUCAGAUACUAAAACUAAUCGCUGGAGUGGUGGUAUUAGGAGCGAGAGCCUUUGAGAGGUCACCAGUUCAUAAGGGUGGAGCCCUCAUCAAUGGGACUCCUGGAUAGCAGCAGCUGGUAAAGACCACCCACCCAAGGCCUCAUUCCAGUGACACAGGAUGAGGAGACUGUUGUCUGGUAAAAGCAGCCUGGAAUUCUAAGUAGCACUGCAUAAAGUGUUUUUGUUAGUUUCAUCAAGGACUACAGGUAAGACAGAAACGCCACCUCUGCCCCAAGUCUUUCUUGCUCUAAGGCCUUGUGUGAUGAUUCAUGGAAUUCCUGGCAGCUUAGAGGCUGAGGGUCGAGAGAUAUCAUUUUACAGAGUCUGAAAACAGGUGCAUAGCUGUGGAAUCUCCAGAGAAUACCAAGCUUGGAAGAGGGAGUGAGUGGCUAUGGGAGACAAGAAGGAGCCCUUAUUCUAGGUGUCACAGUGAGCACAAACUCCUGAUGGAAUGCCUUCGUCUCAUAUGUCACAGGCCCACCAACAGGGCUCAGAGAUGAACUGUGGCAGGAGUAUUUUCCUAAGCCUCUGUGGUUUUCAAAGACAGACAUUCCUUUUUUCUCUAAAUGAAAACAAGGUAUUGCACGAGCACCCAAAACAUCUAUGAAUUCAAAACACUGGUUGUGACAUUUUUCAGAUUUGGGCUUCCAAAUAUUUUCUUCUGACUGACAGCCCAUAAAUGCCUACUACUUCGGUGGAGGAUGAUUAAUCACCAUAUUUUGACCAUCACUGGUAUAAAUUCAUUAUUACCUCCUUGCUGCAAUUGGGCCGCUCCUCUAACAGCCUCCCUUCUCCUGCCCUCCACUCCUCAGGAAAAAAUUACCUAUUCUGGUAUUAUUAAUGCAGAAAUAAAGCCAGAACUAUGUGUAAUGGAGGGAAGUCAUCCUUGCCCAGAGGCCCGUCUCCAGGAACAUCAUGAAGUACUACAGAAAGGUCAAAGGUUCUGAAGUUCAAGACCAGCUCCAACUACCAACUACAAGAUCUACAACCAAUCCCUUAACCAUCCUCAGUUCUCUCAUUUGUAAAGAGGGAACCAUUAAAGUAACAUAUCCCUUUAAGAACUGAAUUGUGGGGCCAGUGAGAUGGCUCACCUUAUAAAGGUACCUGAUGACAA